CGUGCGUGUGGAGAUUUAAGAUGAGGUUUCUUGCAUGUGAUUACUUUUGAAGGGACAAACACGAUUUUAUGGUGAGUACUUCGAAAUUCCCUUGUCUGUGGCAGACCUUACGGUCGCUGGUUGCAGAGACAACUUGGAGAAAGCAUACUUUAUCCGAAUUCGGUCGAGGUUGACAGGUGUAAUCUUAACUUGCAUUCCUCAGCAUGUGACUUGAUUAACUGAUUCAGGAAUUUUUCUUUUGUAGUUGAAAUAUUUGACUGUGUCAUUCAUUUAUUUCCUGUAGAUUAGAAUUAGGUAACCGUGUAAGAAAGAAAGUGCCCCGGUUGGUACUGUGUCAGAGUAAAUGUACUUUUAUUAUUUGGGUAAUGGGGUAAUGAACUACAAUAUUUCGGGAGAAUGUGUGUGAAAGUUCUGUAUGACCACAUUUCUGUUUUGCUAUUCCUUACUGCUUCAAACUCUUAAGGAUUUAGAGGACAUCCAGUGUGUGGUGGAACUAUACAGAUAGAUGAUAGACAGCCUGCUAUUAUCUUAAUGUCACGUGGGCCAUUGAGGUUAUUAAAAUUGAAGCUCCUUCUAGAGGCUUAUGAAUGUUGUAGAUAGUUACAGUGUGCAGAUACACCACUGUGUGUAUUGAAAGUAUAAGUGUUGUGCAUUAGUGGAGACCAAUGUGAGUAAUUAGAUGUGAAACCUGAGGAUCUUCACACAUGAUAAGUUUACAGUCAGUGUAAUAAAAGUGAUAAUACUUGGCAAGCCUUAGUUAUGGCAAGAGGUCAUUUUCAUUUCGUGUAUUGUGUUAAGUGUCUGUUAAUUUUAUGGACAUUAUGAAGCUGAAACCAUAUUUAAUUUUAAAUACCUUAACCAUAUGAGCUACAGAACUUUCAUUUAUGAUCUGUCAGAGUACAGUAACAGAAGCCAGAGUGAUCAGUAUUUAAAUGGGGACUUCCAACAGUGUAAUGGUGAGUUCAUUGGAAUUGUUAACUUCAUUGUUUUGAGCAGGUUGGGGUAAAAGGCAGUUUCUUUACUUCCACUCAUAAUAUGCCAAAAGCGAACAAUACACACAGGUGUAAUGUGUUGUGGUGCAGCAGACAGAACAGUUAGUGAUGCAUCUCAGAUUUCUUGUGUUUUGGGACAUAAAUAGCACAAAUACAAACAGCAUAUGACUGGGUCAAAAUCAAGGUUACCAACACUUUUCCUAGAACAAGUUUAAUAGACACAGUGUAGUGGGACCCGCCUAUUGACGAACAUUGGCAGUGAAACAGUGUGAACAUCACAUGACACAUUUGAAUUGCACAGUGAAUGUCUACAUGAAAUAUCUUGAGCACUUACAGAAUAUUAUUGUUUUUGUGGGGCUGCAGGCUGGGAGUGUGUUCCAUGAAAAAUGAAGUACAUCAUUCUUGAAAAUUUCUCGGGUAUUCAGCCAGGUAGCAUAAUCCAAAAAGCACAACAUUUCAGCAAUCCGACUUCUUGCCAUCUAAAGGAGUUCUUGGUGUUUCACCAAGGACGCCUGAAGAUGCCAAGAAGUCAGCUUUCUGAAAUAUCACGCCUUUUGAAUGAUGCUACCUGUCUGAAUACCCGAGAAAUAUUCAAGAUUUCUGUACGCCAGGAAAACCUUAGAUCAUACAUCGUUCUUAUCAUAUUGUGACACACUGUGAAAGCGUCAGUUUUAAAAUAUCAAAGAAAACACUAGAUGUGAUGUGAUGUGAUGUGAUGUGAUGUGAUUUGGUUUGUUCUUCAUGUGACAGUAUAUUGACUGGUUGUAACAGGAGAGACAUUUUUUAGUCUUGUGGAAGUGUGUGAAAAAAUUUGCUUGUACCUCAGGCAAGAAAACAUUGUGAAUGAAAUGUGGAUGACCCAAAUGUUUCAGUACACAAUAUAAUAUGAGUUAAUGUUAGCUUGAUGCAAAGGUACUGCCUCCUAUUCUAUGAUGGACACAAAUUUAAUGUGUUGUGUAUCAGAGUCAAAAUUUCAGUGUGGUGACUUAAGUGCAUUUCGUGUGGUGUGAUAGCCAGUGUGGUUAGAGGCUGAGGCAGUUAAUAUGUAUUUGAGAUAAGGCUUUAAGAAUGUGAGCAGAACAUAUAGUAGCAUCUGCUAUAUACAUUUGACACCCACCUGUCAGAAGAAUUAGUGUUUUUGCACAGAGUUUGAUGUAUUGAAGAUAUGACAGUCAUGUUAUUGGUCAUGAGGAGCUGAAGUUGCUGUAAUUGUGUUCAGUAAUACAGUAUGCAUUGGAAGACAAUGACGAAAAUAAUUAUUGAUGUGACACAUAGUGGCAAUGAUGUGCAGUUCUUAUAAAUUAAGUGCAAGAUUUUGUCAGUGAGAUGGAGUGAUUGGGAAACAUUGCUACAGUAUUUCAGCUACAGUGUAUCAUAACUGAUUAUUCAAAUUGUGAUAAUUCAGCCUGUCACCAGAUACUACAGUGUGUACACUUCCACUCAUAUUGACUGCUGUAACUAUGCUGCCACUUGCCUUUGGUUACUGUAACAUGGUUCUAAAGUCUGAUUCCAUCUCUAUUCCCACUUACUUUGUAAUGCCAUGUUGCACACUUGCCAUGCAUGAAAGGACUAGAGGAACCUUUUGGCAUAUCACUUGUCAAUCGUGCAAGGCAUUUCCCAAAAGGCAGAUCAGCAUAUUAUUUGUGUCAUGGUUAUUUCAAAAGCAGUUUUGUUAUGCUUGUGGCUGUUGUAUUGCAUUAGUGUGCACCUUCUUUGCAUGUUUCAGGUGUGAGGCUACCUGGAGCUGACAAUGUGCAACUUUGAGGUUACCUAACAGCACUGAAUUUUAUUCAAUAUCGGCAUCGAGUUGUUGGUGCUCCUGUAAUAAAUAUUGGUGUUGUUGUCAACAUUCAUAUAUUAUGUCUAUAUGAGCCAAACAAGGUGGAAUUUAAAGAGGAUAUGAGAAUACAGACCAAAUUGAGUGUCAUUUGAAAAGCAUGUAAUCUUCCACAGUAGUUUCAACACUGCACUAAAAUAUUGUUGCACUGUAAAGUAACAGUGACAUUGUAACAAGAAAAAUUAAUUAAACAGAAGUUUGAAGUGAUGAAAUAGCUUCACAUGUCAGAAAAUACUGUAAUUGUGUUCAAAUAUAAGUCCUUGGCAUGAAAGAUUUUCGUUGCAAAAUAUGUGGCUACGAAGAAUCACAUAACGUCUCAGGUUUGGAAUUACCGGUACAUAGCAGAAAGAAAAUAAAGUAACUUGCUGUCAUGAUAAAGGCUAUUUAGGCCAUAACUUUUUUUCUGUGCUCGGCAAAAUCAACGGACUUAUUCUUGACCUCAGAGAAGAGUGGAAAAUGGUAAAGUGCAAACCUCAUGAUGGGAGAUGACUGUGACAGGUUUUAACUUUCAGGAAAAUUGCUACAGCCCAUGCAUCACAUCAUUUUCAUUGUAAGAAUCAGUUAAUGAAGAGAUGCUGAUUUGAGCAUUAUGUGAAAAAUUUAGGUUCAUUGGAGCACUUUUUAAGAAGAGGAAUUUGAUUACAAAAAGUUGUAGAACUGAGGUGUCCUUGAAGUUUGUAAAUCACUGUUUUUUCAUAUGGCCUGUAUUUGUGUAAGGAAUAGAUGUAGUCUCUUUGAUAUAUUCUACUCCUUUAUUGCACUGCAGUUUGUUAUACUUAUUGAUGCACUCAAUGUUAGCAUGUAGUUAAUAUUGAUGUGAAUUUGUUUCCAGCAUGAAAAACAUAGCCUACUAUGGACCCGUUCACCUUACCUAAAGGAGGAAAAGGAGGAAAUGCCAUCAAGGAGGGAUAACAGUAGAAAGCUGUGCAUUAAUAAAUUACAGUGACAUUGUAGUACUUCAGUCAGGAUUUCCUAAAUUCUUUAUAGUGAUCCCAAACUGAUCAACAAGCAACAAUGGAAAUUCCACACAAUUUCUAAGGGGAUGUUGUAAAGUGAAGAUGCAGUGGGGGAGUGUCUUAGCUGUAGUUGUUGCACUACAGUAAAUGGUUUCCAAUGAACAAGGACAACAGAUGACUGGAAAAAUGUUAUUUGAAAUUCCAGAGUUCAAGGAAGUUCUGCAACAGUUCCCCAUUGCACACUAAUGUGUGGUAUACAUAUGAGGCAUGUGCUAGCAUGAAAAACAUAGCCUACUAUGGACCUGUUCACCUUACCUAAAGGAGGAAAUG